AUGGGAACGGCAUGGGGGGACCACCCCAUCAUCCAGUCACCUCCACCUGGUCUCUCCCGUGCAUGGGAACGGCAUGGGGGGACCACCUCAUCAUCCAGUCACCUCCACCUGGUCACUCCCGUGCAUGGGAACGGCAUGGGGGGGACCACCCCAUCAUCCAGUCACCUCUACCUGGUCUCUCCUGUGACACAUGAGGAUUAUGGGGAUUAUGGGGCUUACAAUUCAAGAUGAGACACAGCUGCUUCUUCCUUUGUUCUUCCUUUCCACACUUCUGGGGUUAAUAAGCGCAGUGCUUUGUUAUAUAGCUUGAUAAAACAGUCAAAGGCCUAAGCUAUUGUCAAAAACAGUAUAAUGCCACUAGCUUUUGAGUGUGUAUGUCAAAAUCUGUUUUUCUGUAUCUAACUUUUCUUACUUCCUUUUGCAAAGGGAACCUGCUUAGCCUGAUAGUGAUAGUGAUAGUGUCAUACUUACGGGAAGCCAGCUCCCUCGACUUUUUUGUUUUUAUCCCUCUAUUUUUCUAGGGCUGGAGGGCAUUGACACAUUCAUUUAUUUAUUUCUCAGAAAAGGCAACAGAGGUUCAGGGAGGCUAAUGACUUGCCCAAGUUCACAUUGCUAACCUACAACAGGGCUGAAGGGGAUCAUGUCUACGGUGGUCCAUUUCCAAGACAAAGUGCCUUGAAUCGGCUUAGGUCUGCAAAAUACAGAAGAAACAGGAUAUCCCAGGCCCCUGCUCAGACAGCCGAUGCCUGCUUAUCGGGAUCCCCCUUAGUUGCCCUCACCUGAACCAAAGAAGUUUAGUCUAAGAUAAAAGUUUACCAGUCUGCAAAAUAGCUGGCUUUGUCUGUUCUUAUCAGCCUGCCAGCUACGUAGGUCAUAAGUCAAAUACUUAAAGAGCCCCAGGGCUAACUAGGAUUGCAAUGCACUGUGGGCUGCAACAAAAUGCAGCAAGACAACCCUAAAAAGACACCUACAGCCCCUGCCCAACAACCAAUAGGUGACAUCCGGGAAGACUGUGACCCCAUAGUGCUCAGCCUAUGAGGAACUGGGGGAGGGACCUGCACACUAAGGGAUAAAGUGCUUGUUAAAACCAUGCUGGAGGCUGGUGCAGUGGCUCACGCCUGUAAUCCCAGCACUUUAGGAGGCCGACGUGAGGCAGGCGGAUCACUUGGGGUCAGGAGUUUGACACCAGCCUGGCCAUCCUGGUAAAACCCCAUCUCUAUUGAAAACACGAAAAUUAGCCAGGCGUGGUGGUGAGUGCCUGUGAUCCCAGCUACUCAGGAGGCUGAGGCAGGAGGAUCACUUGGACUCGGGAGGCAGAGUUACAGUGAGCCGAGAUCCUGCCACCGCACUCCAGCCUGGGCGACAGAGAAAGACCCCAUCUCAAAACAACAGCAACAACAACAAAACCGGGCUGGGCGUGCCUUCCCAUCGGACACCCGACCUCGCAAGACUGUCAUUAAAAGUCUCACUCUCGCUGUUCUCCGGGUUGUGAGUCCAUUCUCUGGGUGUGGACAGGUGAGUUUGUUUCUCACAAGGUCCAGGACUUGAACUCAGGCCAUGAGACCGGGCCAGGGUUGUGAGCAAAAGUGCAGCUCAUUGCGGUGCCUCCCUCGGCACCAGUGGGAGGGGAGAGGACCCUGGGGCUCGUCAGCCUGGACACGCCAGCGCUCUCAGCCGUCUCACUCAGUCCCACGAGCCCACACAGUGGCUGCCCUCAAAGGGACUUUGGAGACCACCCAGUCUUUCUUCCCAGUUUACAGACCCAGAGACUCGGGCCCAGAGAAGACAAGUGACUUUGAACAAAGCAAAUUAGUGGCAAUGCCCAGACUUGAACCGAGAUUGGCAGAGCUCGGUGGUCUGCCACAAACCACCCUCCCCCACAGCAGGUGCGGGUGGGGGGCUCCGUUCUUCCGGUCACCACAGCAUGUUACAGGUUUCUGCAUCAGUGCGCCUCCUCUUAGGAAGAAACAUCUCUGGGCUGGGAUGGCUAGCUCCCCGCUUUCAGCCAUGUAGAAUUUCUCUUGGCAUUUUAGUUAGAAGUGUUGUCUAGAUUUCUUAAGUGUCUGAGGCUGCCCUGGCCACAGGGAUGAGUUAGGGAAAAUUACCGUUUCCCAUGUGCGUGUGUGAAGCUCUCCAUGCUCACUAAAGUCAGAGUGAGAAGCAGCAAACACGUCAUCAGGAGGGUGGCCAGCACGGCUGUGUCCUUUUCACACGUCCUCAGAUCAUCCCUGAAUCCACCCAUAUUCUAAAUUCAUUCUCAAAAAUGAGAUUCCAAAUUUCAGGAUCUAUUUACAGCCAGACGAUUUUGGUGCCCCCUGCUCAAAAGCUUUGAUUACUCCUAUGCUUAAUUAAGUCACAAAUCCCUGGCCCAUCAUCCAAGACCACUUGUGAUGUGGUUAAACCUACCUCUGUGAGUGCUAGUAAAUCUACCUCUGCUAGCGCUAGUAAAUUUACCGCUACCAGUACUGCCCCCCACUGUUUCCUUUUCAGGCAUUCAGCUCAGUCUACGACCCGCAGACAGAUUUCCUAGAAAUAACUGCUCCUACUUCUCAACUCUUAACAAAAAGGUCUCUGAAAAGGAAUUUGGAGGAAACAGACUAUUCCAGUGAACAGUGUACAAGCCUGGGAGAUGCGGACUUUGGUGUAAAAUGAAGCAGGGCAGAGGCAGAAACUGCUGGAUGCUGAGAGGAACGCAUCAGUGGAAGAAAACAAGCGGCUGGACGUGGAGAGGACGUCAAGGGAGCACGCCGGCGGAAGAGCACACCCACAGAGGCCGGCAGGCCACCCAGCGGCAGGACCAGGCGGAGUUUGGCCGGGGCAGUCGGAGGAGAGCUAGGCCACUGAGCAGCUCAACUCCAGGAGGAAACCAUCUCCCUUGUGGCUCCUCCGUCGGCUGAGAGCUGCUUCCACUCAAUAACACUUUGCACUCGUUCUCCAAGCCCCCGUGUGAUCCGAUUCUUCUGGUACACCCAGGCAAGAACCCAGGAUACAGAAAGGCCUCGGUCCUUUCCACAAGUACCUCUACUUGAGGUACUCAUUGACCUGGUUAACACAAGCUGCCUACAGACGGCAAAACUAAGGGCACCCUGGAACACAGGCUUCAGCUGUAAACAUUCACCCCUGGGCACUGCCGUGGGGUGGGAGCCUGCCUGACUGUAUGCUCCCCUAGAGGUUUGAGCUGCGGGGCACUGAAGAAGUGAGCCACACUCCCAUCGCACACUCUGCGAGGGGGACAAAGGAACUUUUCCUCUUUUAACUGGGGCCUCAUCUGGGAUCUCGGAAGGUGAAUGUCUGCCUUCGAAAACCCUACCACCUGUCUUUCUUGUGGCCCGUGCCAGCUCGCUGGGAGGAGGACGAGGACACCUGUGAUCACAUGCUCUGGUCUGGAGGCACGGCCGCGGGCCCCGGGUCAGCGUGAAUCCGCGGGGUUACUCCUCAGUCGGAUCUGAGCUCUGAAACCCAGACUCGAGGAAGACAAGCGGCCACGUCGGAUGUACCAGUGGUGGAAGAUCCUGUCCGGCUGCACCGAGGCUCACAUCAGAAGCCGGCUUCGGUUUCACCACAAAACAAGGCGUCUAGUGCCCGAUUCUGCCUCCAACGCAGCCCUGGGUCACACUCGCUGUAGGACAGAUGUUAUUCUUCAGAAUCACACCCUCUGGCAAAUGCCCGUCAUCGGACAAAUGGACGGAUGAAGUGUGACUCAGCCAUGAGAAGGGGGAUGCUCUGAGCCGCGCGGCCAUGCCACCAACCCGGAGGACACGGUGCUGCGAGAAAAAGCCAGAGUCUUCUCUGCACGUCCACGGGCACGCACAGCUGAGCGGCACACAGCGGCCGGGCUUGCUCCUCCGCACUGGGGACACGAGAUUUCACUGCACCUCACCCAGCCCUUUCCACAGAGCAGUUCAUCUUGGAGACUCUUCCCCUUGAAGGGUCUAAAGGUUUAUUCACAGACUUCGGAAUUCCACCCCAGAGGACGCCCCACCCUGGUCAGGAUGGUUGUGGAUUCUCAGUGCCCGGUGUCCAAAAUGUGCCCACGCAACCUCCUGUGGCUCCACAGAGCGUGUCGGUCUGGAACCAUCACUUUCUCGUACAUACAGACCCACCCUCCGUGUUCCCUGGAUCUCACAUCUGUCUCAACACGCCAGUCUCCGUGUCCUGGUGUUUGUUGUCGGGGAAGAUGCAACAUCGGGGGAAGGGAGUAAUCAUGUCUGGUGGCAGCUGGCACUGGCAGGCAGCGGGCACUCGAAGCCUGCACCUGUCCCUCUGGGGCCUUGGCUAUCCCUCUGGGGCCUUGGCUAUCCCUCCGCACGACGGGCAUGAAGCCCCCUCCUGCCUCCACUGCUCGGAUGAAAGGAGGUGAUGGGUGUGAAGGGGCAGAACUCUGCACACAGCGCCCGGCUCUGGGAACCAAACCUGUGGCUCAGGGCGGCACUGACUUCCCCAGGCCAGGAAGGUCCCCAGGCCAUUCUUUCCACAGGAAGGUCCCCAGGCCAGUCUUUCCACGGGCAGGUCCCCAGGCCAGUCUUUCCACGGGAAGGGUGGUGAGGAUGAGCCUAACGGGGAUUCCGACAUGGUGGGCCUCCCAGAGAUCAGCCCACCCUCCCACUGGCCUGUGGAGGCGCAUACCUGCAGGUGAGAAUGUCCUGGAACUUGACAAAGGCCUGCGCGGUCACGUUCAGCUCGUAGAUGACAGAGUUGAUGACAUAGGAAUCAUUCUGGACUUGCAUCUCCACAUCGUAGCUGUGACUGUUUGCCACAGCGAGGAAGAUCCUCUCCCCGAUCUGGAAGACCUCCCAGUCUGCAGCACCGAACGUCUAGGACCAAAGGAGAGCAGGUGCAGAGGCCCCAGUGCUGUGCGUCCUACGAGCACCACCUGCUGUCUCACCUCUUCUAGGAAGCCCACCCUGAUCCCUCUAGUCCCAGCCUCAGACACUGAAGCAACAUCAGGGGGCGCCGUUGCCCGCCCGAGCCCGAAGAGCCUGGGGGCAGGGGAGGGCGCCACAGGUGAGGACACAGCUCCGUGGGCACCAGGCAAGGUCCCAAAGCAGAUCCGCAGCCGGUCAGAGGAGCGCACAUGGGUGGAUGUCACCCACCCCUUGGGACUUCGCCACGGGUCGCUAGCCCAGACCCUCCCCUUGGUUCCGGUGGUUCCAUUUCUGCCCCUUUGCUGCUGGCCCCCUUCUGAGGAUGCCCGUGCAUCUCCAGGACUACUGCUCCAGUCCUUGGUGUAGAUCAAAGCUGGCCUUCACAUGCGGCCUGAAAAUGUAGAGUGGCCGCCUUCUGGGCUGGGCUGCCACCCCACCACAUCACCCGUGACAGAAGCCCCGUGUUUUUCAGUAACCACGUUCCACGAACACCUCCCGACUGCCUUCCAGCACACACAAAGAUCAACGAAGCUCAGAAUCCAGUCCCGAUGUCAUUUCAUGAAGAGCAGGUAGUCCAUCAAAGGGAUGGGCCCCAUGAGUGAAGGGCUGAGACCCCACCAUGGUGUGAGGCGUCCCAGGCACUCCCGUCACGGCCCAAACCAGGCUGCAGGCUCCAUCCCCAUGGGGCAGGCACAGAGGAGGCGAUUCAUAUGGACAGGAGGUGAUUCAUGUGGACACAGAGACACCUGUGGACGCCCUGGCUCGGCCGCUUACUGCCGUGUGUUUGUGGCCAGGUCCCUGCUCCUGAGCCUCAGUUUCCACACCUGUGAGAUGGGUCUGAGGUGGAAUCGCCAACCAGCUGAGGAUGCGCAGCCACAGACCACCUUCCAGAAAUCUCCAAAAGGCUUUCCAAAACAGGAAAACAAGGAAGGCUGCCAUCAGCAGGAAUUCCAGGGCUUUCAGAAUGAGGCUGUCAGGAGUGAAGGGAGCUGUGCUCCACAUGCAGGGCAGUGGCCAGGGCUGCCAGGUCUUGUUUAUCUGGGAGCGCCAGGCUGCCUGCCUGCACCUGGUCUGGGCACCCGAAGGCAGAGCUGCUCCUGCUUAGGGUCUGUGGCAACUGUCCUCCUCCGUGGGUGCUGCUGGGAGCUCCUCUGAUUCCUGGUGGGCGGCUUCUGGCCUCGCCUCUUCACCCACGGUGUAGGGUGUGGGAUGGAGAUGCAGGGCCUCUGCUCUCCUUCUCCUCUCCCCCAAGCAGCCUGGGUUGUACCUCCACUAAUAAACACCAACACCCGCGCCCAGGGUGGGUUCGGCCACGGGGCGAUUCUCUGAGUGACACAUCAGGAUCAGCUUCGUGUGGUCCUGACCUUACGGUAAUGUCAGCCCCCAGAGCCAGGGGCCGGGCUAUGGCACCACCCACCCAGGCGAUUUCUAUGUCGGGAUGACCGACUGUGCCAUCCCUGGGGCAGUCCCCCAUGCCAGGCAAACAUUCUCCUUUCAUGCUUAAAAUCACAGGACGGGCUCGCUCACCCGCUUCGUCCUUGGACCUGUGAUCUAUGUACGCUGCUUUUCAACAAGUUUCUGGUUGUCCCCUCCUGGGUCUGGCCCUCCCCUCCUUCCUUCCUAGAGGAAGAAAACACACCAGCUCUGCAUGCAAGAACGCUCCCAGCUCUCCCAUCUUCCCAUCCCAGGAGCCCCUCGCUCCUGCACCCUGGGGCUUUCGGUCCUGUCCCACCUCAGCGGCUGCUGCACAGGAAGGCCGUCCUGGCCUGGCCCCUGUGUCUCUGCCUUCCUCGACUCCUGCAGUCUGUGCUUCUGUCACUCCUUCAGCACGCCAUCCCUGGACACACUUUGUGCUCUGUGGACUCCACAGCCCCCAAACCCCCCCUUAUGCCCUCCCUGACCCCAGACCAUCUGGGCUGGCUUCUCUCUAGGACACAUACCAGUUCUCAUUCCAGAACUUUCCUUAUGGUCAUCUUUGGGUGGAGCUACCACUUCCAGUUCUGAUCUUCUGCAUCUGGUUGAGGACCUGGGCUUGCCAGUGCACCCCCCAAGAACACCGCCUAGUCCAGGGCUCCCACAUGUCUCAGACUGACAGGAGACUGGGUCAUAUGACCGGCACUAGCCAAUGAGCUGUGAGGACAUGUGAGCACAGGUCCAGCUAGGCUGGGUCAUAUGACAAGCAUUAGCCAAUGAGCUGUGAGGACACGUGAGUACAGGUCCAGCUAGGCUGGGACAUGUGACUGGCACUGGCCAAUGGGUUGUGAGCACAGGUCAGGUCAGCCCCUUCCUGCUGCUUCCCACUGUGUGUGCUCCUUGUCUGACUUGAUAUGAGAACUAACCCAAUAUGGCAGGAAGCCACUAACAUGUGGGAGCCGUGCAUGGCAGUGGCCAGCGUCCUUGCCCUGCGGGGGCGCUGCGGACAUCACUCGCCUUCAGAACACUGAGCCCUCCUACCUCCUGAUAUCCAGGGCUGCCGAUGGGAAAUCCCAGGCUGCCGCGGCUCCUGUGUGCUUUGAAGCCUGACUCCUGCAGUUUUCAGGAUUUUUGUCAAACAUCGGGGACGCUUAGCUGGAGAGGAUGGCAUGGGUGACACGCAGCUGGCCAGGGUGCGCGACUCUGCUCUCAAGACCCCCUGGAGACCCGCCCCCUGCCCCCCACCAGCUCAUUCGUUAGAUGAUUGGAAGUGACUGCCUACGUCUUCUUUCAGGAUAAAGCCUCAAGUCCUGCAACUA